rnacentral:rRNA from 1 species
UACAGAGGUCUCAAGCGUUGUUCGGAUUCAUUGGGCGUAAAGGGUGCGUAGGUGGCGCCAUAAGUCGGGUGUGAAAUCUCGGGGCUUAACUCCGAAACUGCAUUCGAUACUGUGGUGCUUGAGGACUGGAGAGGAGACUGGAAUUCAUGGUGUAGCAGUGAAAUGCGUAGAUAUCAUGAGGAAUACCAGAGGCGAAGGCGGCUCCCUGGACAAUUGCUGACACUCAGGCACGAAAGCGUGGGGAGCAAAAGGG